rnacentral:misc_RNA from 1 species
GAUGAAGAACGCAGCGAAAUGCGAUACGUAAUGUGAAUUUCAGAAUUCCGUGAAUCAUCGAAUCUUUGAACGCACCUUGCGCCUCUUGGUAUUCCGAGGGGCAUGCCUGUUUGAGUGUGAUUAAAUCCUCAAAAGAAGAAACUUGUCUUUCUCUUUUGGAACUGGGGGUGUGCUGGCCUUCUAUUUAGGAAGCCCAGCUCCCCUGAAAUGCAUUAGCGAUGUGACAUCUGCAUGGCACCAUGCUUCUCUGGCAUUGAUAGUCUUUUCAUGCUUGAGCAUGUUGUGCAUCUGUGGAAAGCUUUGCUCGCUCCUAACCGAUGGGUUUCUCCCAUCCUUGUGACCAAUUUAACCUCAAAUCAGGUAGGAUUACCCGCUGAACUUAAGCAUAUCAAUAAGCGGAGGA